rnacentral:lncRNA from 1 species
GACUAUAUACUAAACAUUACCAGUAUGUUGUAUAUUUUCAUAUGUUUUCAUGUUACUAAUUAUUAUCCUUUCAUUUCAGGUUGAAGAACUCCUUUCAGCAUUUCUUAUAAGGCACAUCUAGUGGUGAUUAACUCCCUCAGCUGUUGUUUGUUAGGAAAGUGUUUAUCUCACCUUCAUUUCUGAUGGACAACUUUGCCAGAUGAGGAAACUGGAAGCUGAGACUUUGAGGAAAUCUCCUAAGUUUACAAAUGAAUAUUACUUAGAGCUCACAUUCAAACUCAGGGAUCUCAAGGGAUCCCAGUGAGUUGGUGAUUAUCUACAGUAUUGAAAAAAUGUUGGACUUGAUCCCAAGAGAACUUUUUAGGUUUGACUCUUUCAAAGAAAAGAGAGAUUGUCAUAAAU